GGACCCACGACUUCACAGCGGAUUGAAUGACCCCACAUAUUCACUGGCUCUGUGUGAGGAAGAGCAAGGGAGCUGGAGGAGAGAAAGAGAGAGCGAGAGACAUGAGACAAAGAAAGAAAUGCAAGCUAUGUGGAAAAGAGAACAAGCAUUUCAGUCACGCAAAGGUGAAGGCUCGGUCAGCCGUCUGUACCAGAGACUUUCACACACGUCGGUGAGACUGUGAAUCAGCGCCUCAGUGUUGGACACUACAGAGAAUUCAUUCCUCCACAGCUUACACGCACUCUCGAUCUCAAAGACACAAGCACACAGAUUCUUUCUAACAGCGGUGAAGAAGUCUGUCAGACCAAUGACAUCACUGUUAAGUUCACAGAAGCCCCCCUCACGGCCCAAAUGCUUAAUGUAUGUGACAUGUUCCACAGCCGCCCAUAGCUGACCUCAAAUCGACCACAGCCGAAAUGAGUCAGCCGUGGAUGGCCCCGGCCCCUAAGGGACCCCUCCAGCUCGGGCUUUGAUGCGUGCCGAUGUCAGCUCCCAGCCAUGCUUAUAUUUGGAAAUGGAUAGCGAGGCACACCCUUGCUCUCUUGUCAUUGAACCAGAUCCAUUGGCUGUGGUCAGAUGGCAGGGCCGCGCCCGAGCAACUGCGCCUCAUCUCCGUUCCUGGAAAUAAGAUCAAGCUUCUUUGUCAUUACGUUCCAAACAGGGCCUUGGUCAAGGGGGCAGCCAUACAGACUUUUAGCCACAGAGAUUUAUACUGUGGAUGUUUAUAUUCAAACUGUAACACCAGUUAUUCUUCAUAAUAGCUAUGCACACAGUGACCUCUGUGUGUAUUUGUUGGUUUGUUUUCAUAUAUUUUCAGGAGAUAAUGUAAAUGCUUUCUGAGGUAAAGAAUUAGG